GGGCUGUUAGCUCAGUCGGUAGAGCGCCGCGUUCGCAUCGCGGAGGUCAGGGGUUCAACUCCCCUACGGUCCA
rnacentral:tRNA from 1 species